UUUGCCGAAUUCAAAAUUUUUUCUUCUUGUAAACAAAAACCAGACUGUUUUCUUUCCUGAUUUAACGAUUUGGAAGCCAAACGAUCAGCCAAUGCUUUUGCUUUAGAUAUCUUUUCUUGUAACUUUAAUUUAUUCAACUAAAAAAUAGUUAGCAUAUAUACAUUCUGUUUUACGCUAGAAACUUUAAAUGAGUAAACGAACUUGUUGAUAGGCAACAGGAACAGGAACGGAGGGAGGUAAAUUGAAACUAACAUUAUCUGGUUCUCGUAAAGUUACUGUAGUUUUGGCUCGCGAAAUACUGUAUGAAAUCAAAGAAAAUUUGUACAAAAAAAAAACGUUUCAUGAGUGAAAGGCGCAAUAUGUCUACCUACAUUAAUUCGUGUGAAUCUAUUGUUCUAGAAGAAAUUGAUAGAUUUCUAACAGCAUCAGCCAUUUCAGUAGUUUUGAACUCUAUAAGCGCAACACUAGAACGCCAAACUUGAAUAGAAAGUCCAUUUGUACUUUUUGAAAUUACGUACCGUUUUCCAAAAUCUGAAGCAGCACCGUCGAUUAAACGAUUAUCAACAACCUCAAGAGGUCCAAAUUUGAGGUAGAUUGGCUACAUGAACAGUACGGGUUAAUUGCUGCUCUUCUGUUUCGCGUGGAGGGUAAUCAUAACCUAAAAAGUGUACCUAAACUGUGAGAUAAAAAAUGAUCCGGACAAGAAUCCGUUAAAGAAGAUGUUACACCUAAUAAAUUUAUAGAAAGCCCCAAGAAAGUAAAGGAGGGCGCAAGGAAGCUUGGAUCGUAGGAUCGAUGACUGUGAUAACCAAAGGGACUCCAAGAAGACUUUGUCCGUUUUGUGACGUAGCUGCUGUUACUCCUGAAGAGGUAUAUGAGGCGUAAGAAAUUCUCGUACAAUGUCAGUCGUUAACAGAGGCGAUAAAUUUUUGAGAAAAACACUGUUAGAUAAGAUAUGGCUUGACAUCAAGACUUGGCUCUUGAAAAAUCAAGAUAACACAGAAACACAAUUUAUUAUGCCUAAGAUUUGUCAAAUUUGAUGAACCGUGUUAUAUAACACAGUUUUGCAAAUCUCUAAUUUCUCUUAUCUUUCUUAUAUACACUGUUCUCAAGAACAUUGUCACUACCUUUACAAGAGUAUCUAAAGGGUUGUGUUAGCUCCUUUUUACAAAGUCAAAGAAGCAUGCCAUGUUUACUGCCCC